UACGGAGGGUGCGAGCGUUGUCCGGAAUCACUGGGCGUAAAGGGCGCGUAGGCGGCGCGGAUAGUCGGCGGUGAAAGCCCGGAGCUCAACUCCGGGUCGGCCGUCGAUACUUCCGGGCUUGAGCACUGUAGAGGCAGAUGGAAUUCCUGGUGUAGCGGUGAAAUGCGCAGAUAUCAGGAAGAACACCCGUGGCGAAGGCGGCUCUCUGGGACGGUACUGACGCUGAGACGCGAAAGCGUGGGGAGCGAACAGG
rnacentral:rRNA from 1 species